rnacentral:rRNA from 1 species
GACGAACGCUGGCGGCGUGCUUAACACAUGCAAGUCGAACGGAAAGGCCCUUCGGGGUACUCGAGUGGCGAACGGGUGAGUAACACGUGGGUGAUCUGCCCUGCACUUUGGGAUAAGCCCGGGAAACUGGGUCUAAUACCGAAUAGGACCACGCGCUUCAUGGUGUGUGGUGGAAAGCUUUUGCGGUGUGGGAUGGGCCCGCGGCCUAUCAGCUUGUUGGUGGGGUAAUGGCCUACCAAGGCGACGACGGGUAGCCGGCCUGAGAGGGUGACCGGCCACACUGGGACUGAGAUACGGCCCAGACUCCUACGGGAGGCAGCAGUGGGGAAUAUUGCCCAAUGGGCGCAAGCCUGAUGCAGCGACGCCGCGUGAGGGAUGACGGCCUUCGGGUUGUAAACCUCUUUCAAUAGGGACGAAGCGCAAGUGACGGUACCUAUAGAAGAAGCACCGGCCAACUACGUG